CAACAUCCAUUACUGCACUUAUCUACUUACCGCUACAUCAAAUUAGCUGUUUAACUUGUAAGGUGAAUACAUAUAACUCUUAAAUAUCCUUCAAGAGUUGGUCAUUUUUGAUUUUUGUAUAAAUAAAAAUUAUUAUAUCAGAAAAAUUGAAUAAAUUGGAUAUGGAGGAUUUGAAGAAAGCGCAGUGUUUUAAGUUUUUUGAAAUUGUCGAUGUAAUACCCGAAAGAUAUAACCGACAUAUAAGAUUAGGAUGUUGCUGGUUGUGCAAGGUAAAUUAUUUGUUUACAUCAGUGUCACAUAUUUAUAAACACCUGAAAGUAGCACAUCCAGAAAUAGCAAAGAAGCAGGAAACAAUAAAUUUAUUCACAAAACUAGUAUAUCGCUUUCUUGAUUUUAUACAUUGUAAGGCAGAGUGUGCACUUUGCCAUAGUGUUUUUUAUUAUCGUACUUCCAAGGAUCUUUUAAGACAUUUGAAAAUAGCUCAUAACAUUGAUAAGACGGACAUAAUUCCAAAAGAAAACUAAAAAAAUAGACAAGAAAAUAAUAAAAGGUCAACAAUCAGGUCAAAUGCAAAAACUACUUUUAUAUUUUAUAAUAUAAAUCAGGGAUUGUAGGUCUGUUUUAAAAACAAAUAUGUA